AGCAGCCGCGGUAAUUCCAGCUCCAAUAGCGUAUAUUAAAGUUGUUGCAGUUAAAAAGCUCGUAGUUGAAUUUCGGGACCAAUUUGUUGGUCGUGCCUCGGUACGUACUGAUAUUAUUGGUUUCUCCCUUCUGAAGAACCAUGAUGCCAUUAAUUUGGUGUCGUGGGGAAUCAGGACUGUUACUUUGAAAAAAUUAGAGUGUUUAAAGCAGGCUUUCGCUUGAAUACAUUAGCAUGGAAUAAUGAAAUAGGACGUUUGAUUCUAUUUUGUUGGUUUCUAGGAUCGACGUAAUGAUUAAUAGGGAUAGUUGGGGGCAUUAGUAUUCAAUUGUCAGAGGUGAAAUUCUUGGAUUUAUUGAAGACUAACUACUGCGAAAGCAUUUGCCAAGGAUGUUUUCAUUAAUCAAGAACGAAAGUUAGGGGAUCGAAGACGAUCAGAUACCGUCGUAGUCUUAACCAUAAACUAUGCCGACU
rnacentral:rRNA from 1 species